rnacentral:lncRNA from 11 species
GGUGGAAAUAAUGCGAUAUUCUAGAUAUUAAUGGCUAGCAGCUCCAGCAUUCAUCUGAAUCAGUUAGUUGACCAAGGCUAUUGCAAGCUGAAGUUUAAAAACACCUGAUGAGUCAUCGUUCUUUUGCCUGUAAUUCCUGAGAAUGGAGUAGUAUUCUCUACUACAAAAAUUUCAACUGAAGAAAUCAAGAAAGUGUCAGGACAAAUCACAUUUGCUGAGGAAUUAAGCUUCAUGGAAAUCAAUGGGACCUACUUCCACAUAUUAGAGAGGCUUAACAGGACCAAAACUUCAAGGAAGUAAUUUUCUACUAAAAUUAACCAUCUCUCAAUUGUUUACCUUUCUACUUAGAGCACAGAUGUACUCAUCCUCUAGACACACAUUUUAAAAUGACAGUCAAAUAAGAGUGCUGGCUAACACAGGAAAAUUAGGUUUUUGUUUCAUAGAGAUUAAACUACAGAGGAUAUAAAGGCAGAUCUUUUACAAGGAGACGUUAGAAAAUAAAUUGCACAAACUAGAGCUUCAUGACAAAUUGGCUGUAUUUGGUUGACCAUAUCUCAAUUUAUUAAACUGAAGAA